CUGUGGACCAGUUACCUGGAGAAGCACUGGAAUGUGUGCUUAGAGCAGCACAUGACCUACUUGUUGCUUACAAGGAUCAAGUUGCAGUUACAAAAGGGUCAGCUCUUUCUUACCUGUUAUGGUGCUUGCUCCUCAAGAGGAGAAAUGGAUUGUGGAUAUGGCCCAAGUACUUUAAGGCUCUUAUAAAUGAAAGCAGCUACUCCUAAGGCAUCUUCUUCUAAGAGGAAAUCCAAGGAUGGAGAUGAAGAUGGUUCAAAGAAGAAAACCAAAGAAGAAAAAUGAUCCUAAUGCACCAAAGAGAGCUAUGUCUGCUUU